rnacentral:rRNA from 1 species
CGGCCCAGACUCCUACGGGAGGCAGCAGUGGGGAAUUUUGGACAAUGGGCGAAAGCCUGAUCCAGCAAUGCCGCGUGUGUGAAGAAGGCCUUCGGGUUGUAAAGCACUUUUGUCCGGAAAGAAAACCUCCGCCCUAAUAUGGUGGGGGGAUGACGGUACCGGAAGAAUAAGCACCGGCUAACUACGUGCCAGCAGCCGCGGUAAUACGUAGGGUGCAAGCGUUAAUCGGAAUUACUGGGCGUAAAGCGUGCGCAGGCGGUCCGCUAAGACAGAUGUGAAAUCCCCGGGCUUAACCUGGGAACUGCAUUUGUGACUGGCGGGCUAGAGUAUGGCAGAGGGGGGUAGAAUUCCACGUGUAGCAGUGAAAUGCGUAGAGAUGUGGAGGAAUACCGAUGGCGAAGGCAGCCCCCUGGGCCAAUACUGACGCUCAUGCACGAAAGCGUGGGGAGCAAACAGGAUUAGAUACCCUGGUAGUCCACGCCCUAAACGAUGUCAACUAGUUGUUGGGGAUUCAUUUCCUUAGUAACGUAGCUAACGCGUGAAGUUGACCGCCUGGGGAGUACGGUCGCAAGAUUAAAACUCAAAGGAAUUGACGGGGACCCGCACAAGCGGUGGAUGAUGUGGAUUAAUUCGAUGCAACGCGAAAAACCUUACCUACCCUUGACAUGUAUGGAACCCUGCUGAGAGGUGGGGGUGCCCGAAAGGGAGC